GGGUGCCAUGUGAUUAGAUCUCAUGAAGAAAAAUAUGAAAGGAAGAACUUAUUUUUCUGCAAAACCUUAAAUCUUGAAACCCUAGGUUUGUUGUAUGUGAUAUAAAGUUGUAUGAAAAAUAAGACAUCUAAUGUAUAUGAUUAAAAUUAUUUUGAUCAUGACAAAAUAAAAUUUUGAAUCAUAAAAGUUUUAGAUAUAAUAUAAAAGUGUUAUGAUUGAUUUUAUUUUAGUGUUAUUCAAGAAUUUUUAGAUCUGAAUCAUACUUGCACAAUUACCGAGCCGAUCCAG
rnacentral:lncRNA from 1 species